rnacentral:sRNA from 1 species
CAGAAGCAGCUCCGCCAGGGCUCUCCCUGAGCAUCUGGGAGGUGAGUUCCCAGAGAACAGAGCUCUGUCUGAGGGUUUGGCUGAACCCCGCUUUGCUAAGGAGAUAGGCAUAUAACUCAGG